rnacentral:lncRNA from 1 species
AAAUUGACUGCUUCAGAAAAGCCAUUCAGAAUGACCACUUGGGUUCUGUAUUCCUCAUAAAGGUCAACUUUGACUCGAGAGAAAAUAAGUUCUAUCGGCACUGCCUCCCCCAGCAGACUGUACACAAUCACAUGCUGCAGAACGAUGUUUUGGACAAUGAUGAACCGGAUACACGACAGUGGUCUCCUAAGAUGAUCAUGGAGCUGAAAACUUCAUCGAGAGCUGUCAUAACACCACAGUGCAAUUACUCUAUUUUUAAAAUAAAUGUACUGCAGCCUCAGUGUGCCAUGUUGAUAAAGUCUGCAGUCAUGUACAGCAAUGUCCUAGGCCUUCACAUUCACUCAGCGCUCACUCACUGACUCACCCAGAGCAGCUUCCAGUCCUGCAAGCUCCGUUCAUGACAUAGGAAGGUGACAGUACCGGGAACCUCAUCGAAAACAGGUGUUAAGUACAUGCUUGACACCAAGAAUAACAAAAGCAAAGAUGCAAGAGCUCUUUCCUAUGGGUUUUUCCUGAUCAGACUCUGCUAUUUGAAAGGGAUCUGGAAAGAAGUGAGCCAAGCUCACCUUUGUGAAGACU